UACGAAGGGGGCUAGCGUUGCUCGGAAUUACUGGGCGUAAAGCGCACGUAGGCGGUUUCUUAAGUCGGUGGUGAAAUCCUGGAGCUCAACUUCAGAAUUGCCUUCGAUACUGGCUUUCUAGAGGCUGGAAGAGGUUAGUGGAAUUCCCAGUGUAGAGGUGAAAUUCGUAGAUAUUGGGAAGAACACCAGUGGCGAAGGCGGCUAACUGGUCCAGAUCUGACGCUGAGGUGCGAAAGCGUGGGGAGCAAACAGG
rnacentral:rRNA from 1 species